GGCUAGGUAGCUCAGUUGGUUAGAGCACGCGACUCAUAAUCGCGGGGUCGGGAGUUCAAAUCUCCCCCUCGCCACCA
rnacentral:tRNA from 2 species